rnacentral:rRNA from 1 species
UACGAGGGCUUCGUAGCAGUGUCCGUCUUAACUAGGCUGUAAAGGGAGCAUAGGCGGUUCCAUAGUUAGUCUCAAAAUAAGCACUGAAAUUUUGACUAAUGAUUCUUUGGCAACUCUGAGGAAAGUGGACGAGAGUGGUUACUUUCAAAUAAGCAGUGUAAAUGCCGUAAGAUUGAAAGGACCACCACGUGGCGAUUGCAACUCUCGACAC